CCCCGCGCCUCACCUCCUCGCUACAUGCACGUCGUGUACAGGCUGGAACCUUCUCGUUCCCUGCCGUCCCUCGAGCUUCCCCGGGCUUCUUAAAAAAUCUCCCUUCCCGAAACAUCUUGCCGGGCCGAUACACAUACACGCCUCCACCGCUCGACCUUGCUGCUAGUGGUAUACAUGAGAAGACGGCGCCGGCGGCGAUGCUUCUCCUGGCGCCGCUGCACCCGGCCUUCCUCCAACUCAUCUUCGCCUUCGAGCUGCUUCUCCUUAUCCUCCCCUAACUCCUCGCGAUACCCUUGGCGAGUCCCCGCACCAUCGCCGCCGGCGGCCGUCGCCUCCCCAUCUCCGAUCCCGCCGCUCUCUUCCUCUCGCUGGGGAAGCCCGCGCAGCCGUGCUCCAGUCGCACCCUUCACCAUCGCGUCCUCGCGCCUCGAGGCUGUCUCCAACGUCACCAUGCAUGUCGAGCUCUGCAGCGGCGCCGUCGGCUUGGGGAGGCACCCGUGCUGCCGUCCGUCACGGCCGAGGACCAGCCGGCCACGCUCGCCGCCGCGGGCCGGGCCUGCCACGCGCUCGCGGGUGCAUCAGCGACGUCGCUCGGCGUGAUGCUCUAGAAAAUCGCCGGUGUCCUCCCAGGACACGCCUUUGCCUCGGUGAGGACCUGCACCUUCUCUUCCGUCUCAUCACCAAGUAAAAUUUUGCUUCUGCUAUGCGACGGCCGCUGCUUCCUCUUCCUCUUCUCCCACUUCCGCUCACUGCUCGCCGCCGCUUCCUCUUCCUGCGCUGCCGCCGACGCUGCUGUUGCUGACGCCGUCAACGUCGCUACACUUCCCAACCUACUCACCUUCCCAACGCUCCUUGCGACGCCAAGCAGGACAAGCACCCGGGCGCGCCUCCCUCAGCCCCUCCCCUCCUCGACCUCCCUCCCCUCUCCUCCUGCGUUCCUAAGGGCCACGAACCCCGCCACCCGGCCGGCCGCGCAGAACCACGCGUCUCAUGCUCCCGCACGCGGCUGGAGGUCAGUGCACGCAGAUCCGCGUGAGGAGCAUGGAACCGGCGCGGCUCCGACCACUCGAGCCAUCGCCGUCCAACCAAACCCGAGAUACAUUUCUGCUGAUUCCCGUGGGCCUCAAGCCAUGCACGCAACGUGUUCGUUCAAUUGCCUGAGUUGGAGGAUAUGUUUUCUACCUGUCAAGUAUGUCUGUUAGUUUAUGAGCAGCACUUACGAGUGUUGAUUGAUCUUUUAUUUCGAUACUUUAUUUGACCUCCAAGCUGUUUCCUAAGAAAGAUCCUUGAGAGACUCUCUGAGAGAAGGAGGCAGAGGUACAAGCACAACGUGAACGACUGAAGAAGCAGUUGUUGCGUAAGCAGGAAUUGAUCAUAGUAUUGCCACAUUGUGGUACCACUAUUCACCUUUCAUCAGCCUUCUGAAAUUACAUUUUCUUUUUUACUUCUUUUUUUAUAGAAUUACCCAUUUUGUGUCACAUUUCAGAUAAAGCUUGCUUACAGUUGCUGGGAUGGAACUGGGCAUAGGAGAGCUUCCCAAGUUAAUUUCUAACUGUUACUAGAAUGUUUCUUCAAUGUCAAGUUUUUAGACUUUGCAGUUCAGACCUAAUAUACGAUUACAACAUAGCCUACUGGGAAAGGAUUUUUUUCACAGGUCAGCAGUUUUGAGGUAGUAUGCGAGUUCACAUAAAUAAUCCUCAAGGUGACUUCUGAUAUGUCCUUAUGUAUAAAACACAUAUAUUUUUAAUGAUAUGCCUUAAUCUACCAUAUAGAAAGUUUUAAUCUAUACUGCUGUUGUGUAAAAGAUUCAUGAGCUUUUUAGGUGUUCUUUGUCCUUGAAUUGUGGAUCUGGAGUUUAAUUAUUUGGAGAAAAAAAUAUUUUUCCAGUUUCAUGAGGUCAUCUCUUACGUAAGUUAUCAUAACUGAAGUAGCAUAAGAACUUAAAUUGACCACCUAUAUCACCCUGAAUUAACACACGUGGUACGAACUUAAAUAAUGCAACACAUGUAGUACGAACUUAAAUCUUCCCUUAUGAUUCCAAAAAACAUGAUGUGCUGCUGUACCUUAUAGGCUAUGCUCUGGUUUCCUUUGCAAGUUGAAAAUAAAGGGAGAUGCAUAAAUUCAACAGCGUUUGACAUCCAACUUAACUAAACUCAUUAUAGUACAUGAUUUUUGACCAAAUUUAAAUCACACAAUAGCACUUCUGCUUUUAUAUGAUGUCAUAGGGUACAGACAGCCCCUGCAAUUCAACUAAAACAAAAACAUUGCAAAGGCCAAUAAGAUUGGAAGCUGUAAUGUACUCACAAAUUGGUAGAUGCAAGGUUUUGGCGUUAGAUUACUGAAAGAACAAUUAGGGAAAAUAGACAUGUUCCAUUCUUGAAUAUGGUAAUCACCUGAUUUUUUUAUGUAGCCUUUUCUUACAAUUGUAUCCAGAUACCUGCUGUUUGUGCACACUAUUAUUCUAACAGUGCAAUAUAUAUUCAAGCAUUGGUUUACAUACUUAAGACAAGUGUUCUUGUGUACAUAUCUUUUGUGAAUUUUGUCCCAUCUCAGAGAACCUGACACUGUGUGCUGUGUAAUUUUGACUCUUUAGGUGAUCCAAGUUCGUGUAUGGACAAAGACAAGGAGCAGUAUUUAGCAGCUCCAACUGUGCAAGCUUUUCUUUUUUUUAAAAAAAAACAUGUGUACCUGGAUCAACUCAUGCCACUGCCAAAUAGUUACAGAGCCGCUACUACUGAGCUAUGAUGUUGCAAGCCAAAAAAAAAGGAAAGAAAACUCUGACUACUCUCUUUUUGUGUUCUAUUCAUCAUGAUCUGCCAUUUAUCAAUGUUAACAUGGAACAUUGAACUUCGACAUGAAUGUUGAAAUUAUAUUUCGCUAUUUUCUAGUUCUUUGUGUGUCAGCACCCUGGACAAAACUUUCUCUAUCGCUUGCAAAAACUACUGCUUCGUUACAAAGAUGAAUAGAAUAACAAGGAAAGAAUCAAGAACACUUUCAAAAAUGAACGUGUGGUCAUACAACCAAUGCAUUACCUCUACUAAUUUAUGAAUUAGUGUACUCUAAAUUUUAUAUAUCUACAUGCAACUUUCAUGUGCCUUGCAAAUAUGAACACCAUUUGCAUACAACUUUAUAUGAUCAACUCUUUUUUUCUGUUGUAUAACCACAUUCUGUUUACAUACUCAUUAUACUAAAAACGUAAAAUAACCAUCUCUCCUUUAAUACUAAAAUAUGCAAAGGCAAUUAGCGCGCAAGGGACCUCCAUGGCUGCAUGAACAUCGACUGAGGCCUGGAAUUGCUUGAACACACUAGGUAUGCUACUUACUAGAGUGUUGGUAUUCCCCAUCCUCUUGGUGCCCUUGCUACAACACCUGACGGUAUAGAAACCAACCUUUUUAAAAAUCCAUGUCCGCUCCAAACCAUGCAUCAUCCAACAUUCACAAGCAACACAUCACUCAUGUUGCUUCUCAUCAACACACCGCAUAGCACCACCACAUCGCUAUGCCUCAUUUCCCUCCAUUCCUAACCACGACCAUCACCUGCCCAAGAUCAACCGUUGCAAUACAGUAGCAGUGUAUCUACAAAACGAUGCUCCAGCGACAAGAUGUGCUCCCAGUCUUUAUUACAAAAAAAAACAAGGCAAGAUCAUGGCACUCCCCAGAGCACCAACAAAAAACUUAAUACAAGUAAGCAUCAGUCAUAUUCUCUUAUUUAUUUCAGGAAUCAAGCAAACUGAUAAUAUAUAUUUACAAAUUCACAUGUCCUGUAGGUAGUAAGAGCCGCGAAAAACCCAGGACCUUCAUGAUCGAAUUUUUCUGGAUCAAUAAAAUUUUUAGCUACAGAAUCUCCCUACCAAUAUGUACUUCUGCAUUUAAAUUUCAAUGAAAAUUAUAGAUGCUAGCUUUAGUAUCAUUAUAUGUAAAUGCACUACUUUGUUUAAAUUCCUAUUGUACAAAUAAACAGUAUCUUCCAUGAUUAAAUGUACCAUUACAAACAUAUAAAUUUGAAAUUUAACUAUAUCGGAAAAAAUAAGACAAAGGCGCGUCAACGCGCGCCCAAAGUAUUUUACAUGAAGAAUAAUUGUACUUUACCAUAUAGAUAUUUGCAUCCAUGGAAGGAACACCUGAAGAACAGGGCACGCUACUUCCAAUACAGCGCAAAGAAGGAUUUACUCCCAGUCUUCAUCACAGACAAAGGCAGAGCAAAACCAUACCAGUGCUUAGAUCACUAAGCCAAAUUUGAAAAAUGUUGACAUCAUCUGCUCCUACCUUGAUACCUUGCAAUUAACACCAACUUAUCACUAAUUCGAAUUAAAUUGCAGUGAUUGCAGGUCAGGAGCGGGACAACCAUUCCAGGGACUUUACAUUCAACACUGCCUGUAAUAAGCAAUAGCACUUCUGUACUAAAAUAUAGCUAAUAGCAUAUCACAAAUAAUUGUACUAUUACUACUAAUAUAUGGACAUACCACGCUAAUGCUACGUGUAUAUGUAUUAAUGGCGUUCUACCUUAACCUAA